AGCUCUUUCAUUUUUCAUUGACCGCCAAAUAACUCUAGCCAAAACUCAAAUUUCCCCCUUCUUCACCAGCAAAAGUGAAAAAUGGGCAAUUUCAGAAACCUAGCAGCCGCCUCCAACACUCACUCUCCCUAUGCAUUUCAUUUGGGUAGCAGAGAAAAUGCAUAUUUGUCAAUUGUGCAUUUUACUUGCGGUGAUUUGGUUGUGCAGGUUCUGUCAUGAAGCAUCAACUAUGAUGAGUACUUGGACGAGAACAAGUCAUUGAUUCUGAAGAUCGUUGAGAGCCAGAAUACAGGGAAAUUGAGUGAAUGCGCAGAGUGAGCAUUUAGUUCUGUUUUUCUGUUCUUAUUUCAUUACUGUCUGUCAUGUAUUGUCUUCUUACUUGAUGUAUUUGAUUUUACACAUUGACUAAAACUUUGUUUUGGAAAUAGAACUAGCUCUGUUCUUGUUUUGGCAGGAUAAACAAACAAUGUUAUUGUUAAUGGGAAAUAGCAGCAGCCCAUCAUUAGUGAAGAUUCAAAGGAAGCUAUGAAGCAUGCAUUCGAACUCUUUAAUGUUCGAUUGGAAGUAGACUUUGGGACUAGUGAUAUAGGACAUAGCUUAGGAUUGUAAUGAAUAUUUGUAAUUUAUUACAUUUGUCUUUUGUUAAUGAUGAUAUAUACUAUUCUUCGAACAACAAUUUUUCAA